rnacentral:rRNA from 1 species
AGAGUUUGAUCCUGGCUCAGGACGAACGCUGGCGGCGUGCUUAAGACAUGCAAGUCGUACGAGAAAGUCUCUUCGGAGAUGAGUAAAGUGGCGCACGGGUGAGUAACGCGUGGGUAAUCUGCCCUUAGGUUUGGGAUAACCCCGGGAAACCGGAGCUAAUACCGAAUGAGACCACGACGACCUCGGUCGAUGUGGGAAAAGGUGGCCUCUUCUUGAAAGCUAUCGCCAAAGGAUGAGCCCGCGUUUGAUUAGCUAGUUGGUGAGGUAAUGGCUCACCAAGGCGACGAUCAAUAGCUGGUCUGAGAGGAUGAUCAGCCACACUGGAACUGAGAUACGGUCCAGACUCCUACGGGAGGCAGCAGUCGGGAAUAUUGGGCAAUGGGCGAAAGCCUGACCCAGCAACGCCGCGUGAAGGAUGAAGGCCUUCGGGUCGUAAACUUCUGUCGAGAGGGAAGAAUGCGUACGGGUGAAUAAUCCGUGCGUUUGACGGUACCUCCAAAGGAAGCACCGGCUAACUCCGUGCCAGCAGCCGCGGUAAUACGGAGGGUGCAAGCGUUGUUCGGAUUCAUUGGGCGUAAAGCGAGUGUAGGCGGUUUGACAAGUCGGAUGUGAAAUCCCGGGGCCCAACCCCGGAACUGCAUCCGAUACUGUCUGGCUAGAGUCCCGGAGAGGGUGGCGGAAUUCCCGGUGUAGGGGUGAAAUCCGUAGAUAUCGGGAGGAACACCAGUGGCGAAGGCGGCCACCUGGACGGUGACUGACGCUGAGACUCGAAAGCGUGGGUAGCAAACAGGAUUAGAUAC